CGGCUCCGGAGAGACGAUGGUGAGCAAGUUCCUCUGCGACUUCCGGUGGUUCCUCCUCCUCGCCGCGGCAGUGGCGUUGAUCCACAUCCAGUUUCAGUUAAAUCUUUCAGUUCAGUUUCUUCCCCAACAUUAUCAUCUUUUUUUGGCUUUAAAGAGAUGCUCCAGCAUCAAGCAAUGUACAUAUGUAUGUAGCAGUCAUGUUGGCUUCCGUGAUCAAUUCUUCUUGCGUUGAUGUGUCUUUUCACGACACAAUUGGAACAUGCUGAUCAACUUGCUGCUGCUAGA